ACAAGUGGAGAACCAGUGUUGACAAGGCCAAUUCAGUCAGGGUGGAUGUGGUCCAUUCCCCAGUAACUGGUGAGGAGGUGUCAAUACCAAGAGGGGGAAAAUUGCAUUUGUAGUGAGCCAACCACUCUCAGUCCCUGUUCAAGCCCAAAUUAAUGGUGUUAAGUUUUCAAAUGAAUUGUAGCUCUGCAGUUUCUCUUUGAAGUUUUUUUUUGAAUUUUUUUUGUUGAAG